rnacentral:rRNA from 1 species
UGGGGAAUAUUGCACAAUGGGCGCAAGCCUGAUGCAGCCAUGCCGCGUGUAUGAAGAAGGCCUUCGGGCUGUAAAGUACUUUCAGCGGGGAGGAAGGGAGUAAAGUUAAUACCUUUGCUCAUUGACGUUACCCGCAGAAGAAGCACCGGCUAACUCCGUGCCAGCAGCCGCGGUAAUACGGAGGGUGCAAGAGUUAAUCGGAAUUACUGGGCGUAAAGCGCACGCAGGCGGUUUGUUAAGUCAGAUGUGAAAUCCCCGGGCUCAACCUGGGAACUGCAUCUGAUACUGGCAAGCUUGAGUCUCGUAGAGGGGGGUAGAAUUCCAGGUGUAGCGGUGAAAUGCGUAGAGAUCUGGAGGAAUACCGGUGGCGAAGGCGGCCCCCUGGACGAAGACUGACGCUCAGGUGCGAAAGCGUGGGGAGCAAACA